rnacentral:rRNA from 1 species
AUACGUAGGGUGCAAGCGUUAAUCGGAAUUACUGGGCGUAAAGCGUGCGCAGGCGGUUUUGUAAGACCGAGGUGAAAUCCCCGGGCUCAACCUGGGAACUGCCUUUGUGACUGGAAGGCUAGAGUACGGGAGAGGGGGAUGGAAUUCCGCGGGUAGCAGUGGAAUGCGUAGAUAUGCGGAGGAACACCGAUGGCGAAGGCAAUCCCCUGGGCCUGUACUGACGCUCAUGCACGAAAGCGUGGGGAGCAAACAGGAUUAGAUACCCUGGUAGUCCACGCCCUAAACGAUGUCAACUGGUUGUUGGGUCUUCAUUGACUCAGUAACGAAGCUAACGCGUGAAGUUGACCGCCUGGGGAGUACGGCCGCAAGGUUGAAACUUAAAGGAAUUGACGGGG